ACCAGCCCCGCCCAGGACCAGCCCCGCCCAGGACCAGUGACUCAGAUACAAGAAGAGUAAGAUUUUCCCCUUAGGUCUCCUUGGCAGGACCUGGCAAGGGGCAUGGCAGGAAGGGCAGCGGAUCCUCUGACUUGGCCAGCAACAGUCAGGGAGUGGGUUUCCCACCUGCCUUCCCUUGGUCCCUGGAUCUCCUCCUGGGGAGGGUGGUGCCUGCAGAGACCGCCAACUCCCAGGAAGGUCCCAGGCCGCGCCUUUCCCCACAGGCCCCAGCCCUGCCUGCACUUCUGUCCCCCAAGACCGUCUGAGCCCCACUCCGGGCACCAGGCCAGGGCAGAGCUCCCAGCCCAAGUCUGGCAGAGCAGCAGCCAGCAUCUGUGAGGGUCCACUGUGUGCCCAGCACUGCGAUCCUGUCGGGCACAGCCUCUGCAUUCACCACCCCCGCCUGGGAGCAGGCCAAGCCGGUCCCUGGUCCCUGCUCCCUGGGACAGGCGAGCAGGGACAGCGUGUGCUGUGCUCUGGCCGGCCCAGCACCAUCCCACUCUACCCACAGGUUCAAGGCCACUGUCCCUGCCCCAAACCUCCUCUUCCUUAGAUGCACUUGCUCUGAUCCCAGCCCCCUGCCCGUGGUGGCUGCCCGAGUACAUGAGAUUCCCGCCCCCAGCCUACCCUCUGGUCCCUCUCAGCAGCUGCUGAAAGGGGCAGCUGCCAGGAUUCCCACCAGCUGAGUCCUGAAAGGGGACCCUGGGGUUGGGCAGACCUGGGAGGAACCUCAGAGUGACCUUGGUCUUGGUCUCCUGCAGCCCAGUUCUCUGGGUCUGGGGACAAGUGAGUUUGGUGGCCCAGGCCCUGAGCUGCAGGAACACCCCCAUCCAGAGACCACGAUUCAUGCUGAGGCAGCCCUCUGUGCUGGAGGCACCCCUUUCUCUGCUGCAGCCCCUUAGGACCUUGAGCGGUCACUGUCCUCUUCUAAGGUCUGAGCAGAGCUGCAGGGACUCAUGGGUACCUGGUGUCUGCCACAUACCUGGCUGCUGAUAGACAUUCAGAGGCCAAGAGGACGUACACACAGAGCCCGGAAAAUGCCCCAGCUAAGGACACCCAGCUUUAAACUUGCCGAGGAGAUGUGGGCAGUGGGCAGCACUCUCACCCGCCCUGGACACCUACGCCAGUGGGCGCUCGUUAUGUCACCGUCUGGCACGGAGGCGUUGGCCCUGCCCUCUCUCAUCUGGACAUCCCGGCCUCCUCACAGACUUCUGUCGGCACCCACCCAGGACCCUGGUGGCCUCCUAGCACUGCUCUGGGCGCUGGCUCCUGGGCUUCACGACCACCGCGGUUGCAAGGAGCCCUGGCCAGGCGUCUUGUCCACUCUAUCUUAUGAUUCAGGUAGCUGGCACUUCCGGGUUUCCUGAGUGGUGUCACACCUCAGACACUGGACGACUUCCUGCACCUAGCAGCCAUGGAUCCUCGGGUCACCUGGCAUCGAAAAGGAUGGUCACUCAGCUUCCUGUUGCUGUGUCCAGGUGCGAGGAUGCUCCGCCGUUGGUCCUUCUCCUGUUGAUGGACAUGGGGUGGCUUCCAGGUUGGGGCUGUCACUAAUAAAGCUGCUGGAAAAUCCAGGCAUA